AAGGAAACGUCAACUACAAGCAAAUUGCAGUAGUGCAUAAGAUGUGGAUUUUUAUAAGCGAGUACUAUUUUUCUCCAACAAAUUCCUCAGCUGAACACUUCUGCUGGCACUUCAGGCUGACAGAUUUGUCGGUGGAAGGCAGAACAAGAGAAAGCCAGGAUGAUGCUGGGCCUGGAAGAGGGACAGAGAGGAAAUACUCUACUGAUUUUCAUUACAACAUUUGAUCCCAACUUGAUAACAAAAAGGACAGUAACUCAUUGUACCACUACUAAUAUUGAACACUGCUUGGAUUUAAAAAAAAAGACCUCUGGCAAUGCUUGAAUCAGCAAAUCAGGAAAAAUUUAAGAAU
rnacentral:lncRNA from 1 species